GCAAACUUGGUCAUUUAGAGGAAGUAAAAGUCGUAACAAGGUCUCCGUUGGUGAACCAGCGGAGGGAUCAUUACAGAAGAGUUCAGCGAACUCGUCGACCCUUUGUGAACGUACCUGAGCCGUUGCUUCGGCGGGCAUCUCCUGGGAGGGGACGCAGCCUCGCCGCCUCCGGGCGGCGGGGUGCCCGCCAGAGGCGCACUAAACUCUUGCUUUACCUGCCGUCUGAGCAACUGAAAAAUGAAUCAAAACUUUCAACAACGGAUCUCUUGGCUUUGGCAUCGAUGAAGAACGCAGC
rnacentral:misc_RNA from 1 species